rnacentral:rRNA from 1 species
GUGAGGAAUCUUCCACAAUGGGCGAAAGCCUGAUGGAGCAACGCCGCGUGAAGGAUGAAGGUCUUCGGAUUGUAAACUUCUUUUAUGAGUGAAGAAUAUGACGGUAACUCAUGAAUAAGCACCGGCUAACUACGUGCCAGCAGCCGCGGACAUACGUAGGGUGCAAGCAUUAUCCGGAGUGACUGGGCGUAAAGAGUUGCGUAGGCGGUUAUGUAAGCGAAUAGUGAAACCUGGUGGCUCAACCACACAGACUAUUAUUCGAACUGCAUAACUCGAGAAUGGUAGAGGUAACUGGAAUUUCUUGUGUAGGAGUGAAAUCCGUAGAUAUAAGAAGGAACACCAAUGGCGUAGGCAGGUUACUGGGCCAUUUCUGACGCUAAGGCACGAAAGCGUGGGGAGCGAACCGGAUUAGAUACCCGAGUAGUCC